ensembl:lncRNA
GAGAAAUGCAGGGUCAAGAGAGAAGGUGGCCAACAGCUGGGGAAGAAGCUGAGGUGCUCUGCAUGCCAACAAUGUCUGUGCCCCAGAGCAGCCGCAAACUCCCACGUUCUUUCUCCCCUGGCUAUCCAAGAGUGGAUUGGCUGCAGGUACCUUAUCAGAGUGAGAAAAUGAAGAAAACAGGAAAAGAUGAUGGGUCUGAAGAGUGCUCAUCUACACUAAAGGCUUAUCAUAUGCCUACAGACUAGUCAUCAUUGGGAAACAGCUGGAAUAUCAGGCCAAGAGCACAGGAGUGGGAAACAGAGGAGCUUCCAGUCCCAGCUCUGCUCUGUCACCCCGAGAAAAUCCCUCCGCCUGUCUAAGCCACACGUUCACAUGUGUAGAUAAGGACACCAGCACUCCCCAUGGUGGUGUGAGGUCAGAUGAAAUGAUGUGCAUGAAGUUUCUGGGUACAGUAAACAACGCACUGGACAAAGGAAAGGCAUAUCUACUCUGCUUUUCUCUCUCUCCUGGGCUUCCCUGGUGGCUCAGAUGGUAACGAAUUUGCCGGCAAUGUGGGAGACCUGGGUUCGAUCCCUGGAUUGGGAAGAUCCCCUGGAGGAGGGCAUGGCAACCCACUCCAGUAUUCUUGCCUGGAGAAUCCCCAUGGACAGAGGAGCCUGGCAGGCUACAGUCCAUGGGGUCGCAAAGAGUCGGACAAGACUGAGUGACUCAGCACAACAUUCCCCUCUCUCCCACCACAGUGCACAAAGGCACAUUUUAGGAAACCUUGGAAUUGAUGAGCCAGCACCUUCCAACCAGCGGGGAUAGGCCUACGA